AUGAUUGUGAAUCGUCACCUCCUGUGCUGGUCGCUCUGGCAAGUGCACGUUGGUGGCUUUCAUCCAAAUACCCCUGUGAACCUUUGGCCUCUCGCUGGCUUCGGCUGGCAGAGGAUUUUUACAUACUCGAAUGUAAUGAAAGCCCUUGUUGUGCGCAAGCACUAAUAUAAUGUACAACUUUCAACAACGGAUCUCUUGGCUCUCGCAUCGAUGAAGAACGCAGCGAAAUGCGAUAAGUAAUGUGAAUUGCAGAAUUCAGUGAAUCAUCGAAUCUUUGAACGCACCUUGCACCCUUUGGUAUUCCGAAGGGUAUGCUCGUUUGAGUGUCAUUGUACUCUCACACUCUCUAAUUGGGAUUUGCAUUCGGAUUGGGAGUGGUGGACUUGGGUGUUGCCGCUUCACUGUGGCUCACCUCAAAUGUGUUAGUGCAACUGUUGAUUAGACAUAGUACGGCGUGAUAAGUGUCUUCGCCGGCACCUCACAAGAGGGUGGCUAAUCAGGAGCUCUGUGCUUCAAACUGUCUCUGGACAAUCUUUGACAACUUGACCUCAAAUCGAGUAGGACUACCCGCUGAACUUAAGCAUAUCAAUAA
rnacentral:rRNA from 1 species